CAACAUUUCCUCUGCACAGGUUUUGAUAAAUCAUCCCCAGAGUCGCUGGGAGAAUGCAAUGCUAACGUGCAUUUUUAAUAUCUAUAAUCUGAGAGUCUAAAACAAAAGAUUUAAUGUAGAUGUUAAAACUCUUCAACCCUUAACACAUUCCAUCUGUGUUUUCUUUCUGUCUUUGUUUCUGAGCACAAUACUAACAUCUAACAGGAAGAGCCCAGGAACCUGCAGGGUCCUGGAAACAAAUCGGACCGCUGUAUGUUCUGCUCACUGUUAAAUCAGGUUGAAGAGAGGAGUUCAAUAAAAUGCUCUCUGCUGACACCUCUGUGCUGAGCAGCAACAAGACAGAGAAUCUAUUCUGACCACAGCAAAUGGAUUGGGCAGUACUGUAUUCAGAACUAACAUCAGCCGUGUGUCACAGGUCCAGCUUAUGUGUAAUGCGUUCUAGAUUCAUUAGGUAAAACUGUCACAGAACCCAUCUCCAGGGAACGAGAAAGCUACCAGUUACACAAUAAGAAAAAGCCUAUAUUUUCAUUUUUAUCCUUUGCCUCAAGGCUUCCUGGAGCAUAAUGUUUUAUUUAUUCUUCUCCAUUGCUAAAGAACACUGUGUAACAAGACUCUUCCCUCAAUGAGCAAGAACUGUUCCCUAUCUUUAAGUGGUGCUUUGCAUCCCAUGCAUAAUUCUCUUACAUGGAAAUCCAGAAAACAGCUGGCAGGGGAAAAAAAAGAUCUAGGGGCCUCCUCCACCUUUUUAGAAUAUCUUGGGUUGAAUUUAGGAUAAUGCCAUCACACCUAUAAACCACCUAAGAAGACAAAGAACAUUUGAAACAGCAGACAUUAAAGGAAAAGUAUUCCGAACCUCCACCCUGAUCCCUGUCAUUUUUUUCGACUCCCCUCUGCUCUCACCAUCUGCCAUUCACAAACUUGUGAUCAUAUGUUAGUGUCAUUGAUAAAUCUUUUUGA